rnacentral:rRNA from 1 species
UAUGUAGAUGGUUUUUUAACUUAGAAGUCAAAGACAAAAGCAGAAUUUUUGGGAGGCUUUUAAAACUGAAAACUUGAGUUUAGCUGAGGAUAUGCGGUAUUUGUGCUGUAGGGAACGUUACCCAGUGAUAACACAAGGACCAACAAUUGCGGAAGCAGCUAUCUAUAGUAAACUGACAUUGAAAUACGAAAGCAUGGGGAGCAAACG